CGUAUGUGAGGAUGCGUGGUGUGUGCAAUUGCUCAUUGUAUUAGUUUAAUUUCAUUAUUAUUUUAAUUAGUUACGUAGUAUUUAUUCAAUAGGAGAAGAACAUUAUAUUCAUUGUAUAAUUAAAUAUUGUAUAAGAAUUAAUAGAGAAUGAAUCAAUGUGUGUGUGUAUGCGCGUGUAUUGUAUCUACGUAGCAGCGGUGUUUACUUCCCAACGUUCAGUUGCGGAGAAUGUUUCGAAGCAAGACGCAGAAAAAUGAAGUUUUCUUCCCGUCUCAACACGUUACAGCAUUUCUUCGCAAACCUGGAGUAUGUCAUGGCAGAUAAUCAGGAAACCACUUCGUAUCACGAAGAUACUUUUCAAAUAGUUGGAAGAGAUUACAGGAGGAUAUUUUUGAACGUGGGGAAACGUUGAGUAUUUUAAACAGUUGUUGAAGUGGAGGAUAAUGCAUCGAGGAUUUCGAACGAGACUAAAUGACUUACGGGGCAGAUAAUAUUGAACUAAAUGGGAAAGGAGGUUUUUAGAAAGGGCAGGGAAAUCUUCGCUUGCACGGGACGAGUUCGAUUGGUUCGCUUGGAAAGGACUUACGAUGGGAUUGCCGACGCCAGGAUCGUUUACUUUUCGGGCUGUCUUUGGAGCUUGUAAUAAACGACUUCUAUCCCAAACAGCACCGUUUCAAUAUUUACGUAUAAUAAUCCUCGAAACUGGAACUUUCGAGAGAAUUUAACACGGACUAUCUUCAUCUUUUACGUAACUCAUAACGCAAACAAGCAAUUUGCUUCGGCGUAUCAACGCCAAGCGCAGGGGAUGAACCGGAAACGGCGCGAAGAGCGCAAACACGUGCAGGUGAAAUUGCUCGUAAUCGCGUUCCUAUACUGAAAAUAAUCUUCUUCGGUGUAUUCGUGGACCGACGUACUUGGCGUUCUAAAAUUUAACGAGACCUUCUAGGCGUGGAUAUUGACCAGGGACGAAUUAACCCUACGACUGAAUACAAAUGGGUUCAUUUGCAAAGGAAAGAACAGAGAGUUCAGCGGACAAACAGUCGGCCAAACCUCAUUAUUAUUCUCCCGUCCUUAACAUCAUUCGCCGUAGUCCUCGGAUCUUUCAACUCAAAAUCCACCUACAAUCGAGUCUACUCAGCUGACAAACGUUCAAAAGGGAAAUCGACAUAAAUUUAAUUAACUCACAACGCCAGUGUUCUCCCUUCCACGUGGAACUUGCAGGGUGUCAAAGUAUUUCCGACUUAAUACCUUUCUGUCAUUCGAUCGUUCGUUCAGUGUUCUCUUUUAAUAUUUUCUUACUGGUAUUAAUCACGGUAGAUUAGUCACCAUUUAAUAUGAACCCGUCAAGGAUCAAUUUUGCAUUAACGCAAUAUUUCACUUGUCAUGUCAACUAAUUUAUCUCAUUGGAGUUUGAUAAAAAUUAUAUCGAUGUGCUAUUACUUCAUAGAAAAUAAUGUAAUUAGUUGGUUUAUAUCAUCGAAUUCUUCGUUCUAACGUUACUGAAUAUUUCUUUCAGUCAGUAUCUCCUCUUCCAACUAUCUUCUACGAUUUAAAAUAACACAUGCAGAAAUUGAGUAUUUGUAACGCUAUGAUGGUAGUGUUCUUUUAAUUAAAACAUCUCUUCUUUGUAUUUCUGAUUCGCGUGGUAAAGUUCUUAACACCAUCUAUCAUUCUAAUACAUUUGUUUUAUCUUGAUAAAGCAAUAAAUUGCUUGUUAGGAAUUAUUUCAUUGCUUGGUCCUUAAUGGGUUUGCUAUGUUUUGGUCCUUGUGAGACCUACACAAUCUCUAUCAGUGCAUAUACAUAAUCAGUUAAUUCUAACUCGCAUUCGACAAUCUGAUUAUUUAUUAACGCUGAAAUAAUGGUCAAAUAUUACAUUCAACUUUUCUCUUCAACCCAAUACUUCUAUUUAAUACUUGUUAAACAUUUGAUGACCAUCUUACAGAUUCUCUACUGCAAACCAGUGCGUGCUACCAAGCACUAAUUAAAAUAACGUUUGAAUUAAUAUUUAAUCACAAUGGCUGUGUGUAGAAAAUACUACUCUUGAGUGCAGUAAACAAAAAUAUACAUUGAACAAAAAAAGAUAGUGUUACAGAAACAGAAAAUCUGUUUCCACCUACGACAAUGUUGGAAGGUAUAUCUAAAAAAAAAAGAAGUAUCAGUGCCACACGGAUAAAAAAUAUCUAGCAAAAAUGAAAAACCGCGCGAAAACGUAUCGUGCAGUGCGAUUUCUGUCGAGAUUCGAUGAGACACAAAUAUUUUCACGGCUAACAGAGUAUCGAAACCCAAAACAUCGUGCUCCCACGUUUCGGUCGAGAUAUGUUAACCAACAUGCAAAUUUUCGUAAAUUCGGGAGCUCUUGGAAUUUUUUCGAACGAAUAGAAAAUUUUACAGCCGUAGAUUUGUUAUACGAAUUUAAUUAGCAGGGAGUGAAAGCAAUUUGAGAUGCUUUGAACGUUAAUCUGCUGUUUGCAGCAAGAUUUCAGAAGCUUCAAAAAGAUAAUUCUUCAGAUAAAUCUCGGAAACGUCGGGACAUUAAAUUUUUUAAGGGAGAGACGGAAGAAGUAAUUUAAUAAACAAUUGAAGAUCAAAUAAGCUUUCUGGUACGUAUUUUGAAUUCUUGGGACAUUUAGACUAAAUAUUUAGCUUUUCUUCAAUAUGAAAGAAGCUUUGAAACUUUCAAAUUGUAAUUUUAGAAUUCUCAGAGUUUUGAAGUUAUUAAUCCUUAAAUGCAUACAUACUGGGUUGACAUUUUAUAGCGUACUUUUAUUUUAUAAUAUAAAUCAGAUAAGUAUUACUUACUGUAUGGUAUGUUGAAUAUAGUUAUGUUACCAAUAUCAAACACAUCCGCAUUAUACAACACGAAGUAUUAAUCUAAGCGAAUAAAAUAAAAAGUCAACUAUUUUUCCAUUUCAUUAUCUUUGUCCAUUAUAGUUUCAAUAUCCGGAUGUUAUUACGUUAAAAUAAUUUAAAUACAACUAAUAAGAUAUGAUUCGUUUGUAUGUUCUAUAAUAUAUCUCGUAGCUAUUUUGAAACAAAUUCUUCUUACAACUAAAAAGAACCGAAAAGAUAAAACUAGUUUCAGAGUAGACGAAUAUUUUCAAAAUCUUUUGUUAUAUUUAAAGAAAUCAUGCAUUCGAGGAUUAAUAUUCGCACGAAUUUUAAAUUCCCAAGCUUUCCAGGACGUUCAUAAACAUUGAACGAAAACCUACAAAAAUUCCUACAUUUCCAAACAUUCGCCAACAGGACUUCGAAUAUUCGAAAUUUCUCUACAUUCGCGAUUUCAAAGCUUCAAACAUCUUCAAACUUACCGAACGUAGGAUUUUCGCUAAACCUCAUUGCACAAAAUUUUUCCAAAUUCCAUGAACUUCUACGUUCGGAAUAUCCAAAUAAAUACCAAAGCUCGGAACUCGUCUCCCGAGGGACCUUUCAUCGAUAGUCGCUCUUUCAAGAAAAACCGCCGCGAACGUUUUAAAAAGCAUCGACACGCGGUUUUUGAGCAGCGUCCUAUCGAUUCAGUUCUAUAAUUUGUAUAAAUUGUUUGGAAAUUUCACGGAACGAAAUACGUACUCCCUAGCACCCGAGGCAAUAGUUACUAUGCUGCAGAACUCGAGAAACGUUCAGAUGGUCGUUUCUGAACGAAAUUACAGGAGGAAUGCGUUUUGUACGGACGAUGGAACACGGAAUCGCAGGGGAAGCUCGCAAACAGUGGCGGGCGAACGCUCAUUAGCAAACGCGGCGCGUGUUCCGCGAGCUCUCCUCCUACGAUUAUCCCGGAAAACAUGUAUCAGAGCGAGCAGCUUUAAAAAAGUCACGGUGGAUAGUUUUAAACGUGUUAUUAUAUGGAGUAACACGUACGCCCUACCCCGUGUAACUUGGCUGGUGGCACGAUACAAGCUGCAGGUAGUUAACUACUCGUUGGGCGCACAGGAUGCAAUCUCGAAAUCGACCAGGCAACUUGGAAGCACGCACGCCAAUAAAAAGAGCUCUCGCAUCGUCUGAUAUAUGUAGACACCAAGAAAAUAUUUUCCUAGCUAUCGCCACCGAAUUUUCAACCAACAAUCGUUUAUAUAGAGCCAGCGGAUCGUACGUUCAACCCUUAAACUGAAAUAGUUUAACAUUAGGAUUAGUUCACAGGUUAGUAAUUUUGUUUUCAUCAUAUUUUGUUAAAUUCUGUUUUAUUAUAUUUCUAAGUAAUUAUAAUUAAAGAUGUUUCUUAGGAAUUGUAUAUUAGUUGUAUAUUACACUGUUACGAUUAAAACACGAAUGAACAAGUAACUAUAAGUUUUUACCGAAACAGGAGAGUACUCUUUCUGUAUAUUUCAAGAUAUGAACAAAAGUAUAAGUUAAUAGAAACGUUUCUUAAACAUUUCCUAUAUAUUAAGUUACACUUUUCCCAGCUACGAUCAUGGUCAUCGUUAAAAUUGUCUUUUAUUAUUAUUACGAUUGUCUCACCUUAUAUAGUUCAAAUAGCGGAUGUUCAAAAAUUUCUCGAAUCCCUUAUCGCAUGAACAUUAUAUACUCGUAUAAUGUUAUACACAUGUAAUUCUUAAAUUCACGUAUAUUACGUACCACUGUAGCAUUAUAAUAUUAUAUACUUACACUUCGUCGAACCCAUCACGUUACCUCAAACCAUUUCCAUUUGCAAACUCAUUGAUUAUCACUUACAUGUACUCACUUGUAAAGAAACAUUUGGUCAAUUUCAAAGAACCAACGAAAUCAAUCGCCAAAACGACCAUCGUCGUACAAUAAUAAUUCAAAGAAGAGAUAGAGAAUCGGUGGAGCUGAUUUAAGGGUUGAAGUAGAACUCGCUGCUCUCAUUACCAGAGAAUUAUCGCUAGGGGGAUCGUACAUGAUCGAGGUAAACAAACGGGGGACGAAAUAGUGUAUGCCAGAACGGUUUAUUUGCGGUUUAAUUUGCGCCAAAGUACAAAUACUCAUGCAAAACGAACAUAGUAUGUAACAGCGUGAACGUGCUCGGCCUUCAACGAGGCAGAGAAUCGUCACGUAAAGCGGAGAGAAUUUACGAAAAAAAAAAAAAGGAACAAA